rnacentral:rRNA from 1 species
GCGGCGGACGGGUGAGUAACACGUGGGCAACCUGCCCUGCAGACUGGGAUAACUUCGGGAAACCGGAGCUAAUACCGGAUAACACCGAAAACCGCAUGGUUUUCGGUUGAAAGGCGGCUUUUACUUGUCAUUGCAGGAUGGGCCCCCGGCGCAUUACCUAGUUGGGGAGGUAACGGCUCACCAAGGCGACAAUGCGUAGCCAACCUGAAAGGGGGACCGGCCACCCGGGGACUGAAACACGGCCCAAACUCCAACGGGAGGCAGCAGUAGGGAAUCUUCCGCAAUGGACGAAAGUCUGACGGAGCAACGCCGCGUGAGCGAAGAAGGUCUUCGGAUCGUAAAGCUCUGUUGUCAGGGAAGAACAAGUGCCGUUCGAACAGGGCGGUACCUUGACGGUACCUGACGAGGAAGCCACGGCUAACUACGUGCCAGCAGCCGCGGUAAUAC